rnacentral:rRNA from 1 species
CACGUAGGGCGCAAGCGUUGUCCGGAAUUAUUGGGCGUAAAGAGCUCGUAGGCGGUCUGUUGCGUCCGCUGUGAAAACUCGGGGCUUAACCCCGAGCCUGCAGUGGAUACGGGCAGACUAGAGGUAGGUAGGGGAGAAUGGAAUUCCCGGUGUAGCGGUGAAAAUGCGCAGAUAUCGGGAGGAACACCGGUGGCGAAGGCGGUUCUCUGGGCCUUACCUGACGCUGAGGAGCGAAAGCGUGGGGAGCGAACAG